rnacentral:misc_RNA from 1 species
UUAACUAUUAUAUAGUACUCAGACAUCACUAAACAAAAGAGUUGGGUCCUCUGGCAAGCACUGUCAGCCGGAGCCGACGCCCGAAGGCGGCCUGCCAAAGCAACAAAGGGUAAGGUAGACACGGGUUUAGAAGGACUCCGCCCGGAGGCGAAGUUUUCUUUAAUGAUCCUUCCGCAGGUUCACCUACGGAAA